GUGCCAGAAGUUUCGGUUAAGCAGCUAGAGCAAGUAGUUUACGUUAAAGGUUUAAAGGAUUAGUAGACGGAUUUUAAAUAAAAAAAUCUAGAAUAAAAUAAUAUAUUUAAUGAAAAAUAGAAGUAAAAGUUAAAUUUUAUAAUAUCUAUUAGACAACUAAUAAAUGAAAAUAUUAAAUAAGAAUUUUAUUGACGUUGAGAUAAUGAAACCUAAAUUAUCAAGUUGGACUUGUUAACCAAUUAGUUUUAGGUGUAAACGAUGUAUAUUAAAUAUUAAUUUUAAUCAAAAUUAAAUUGACAAUAAUUUAAAAUAUACCACCUGAAAAGUAUAAUACAGAAUUGAAAUUUAAAACAAUAGGCCGUUUAGUUUAUUAACAGUGGAUCAUGUUAUUUAAU
rnacentral:rRNA from 1 species